ACCACCAUACAACAAUACAUACUCUGCAACGCUGUAACUAUUUGUUGCAAAACUUUAUUGUAGAUACAAAUGCAUGCGUUGCAGGCUACAUCUGUUGUCCAUUAUACUGAGAUAGCAAAUCCAAAGCAAAUAUGAGCCCAGCCCACUAAGCACGAUUCCUUGCGUUAACUCCCGUCCACCACCCAUUCAUCGUCUUCGCCAAACCUAGCCGCCUCCCUCCGCUUCCCUGCGACAUCUCUCUGCAGUUGCCAAGCAGAGCCUCCCUCACAAUCCAUUAGUGGUUCUCUCGGGGACACAGCUGGCCUCCUACCAUGAGAUCUAACUCCAGGAGACACCCGUGCAGCCAAGAUGGUUAUGGGGUACCGCAUGACGUGGAUGUUUGUUGAAGAUCCGCGGCGGCGAGUCGGAGCACAGGGGGUGCGGCGGCGCAAGUGCAAGACAGAGAUUCAUGCCCGAGGACACGCAGCAACCCAUUCGCCAGUGGCAGGAGAGGCCACACGAAAAUCCUCAAGCAGGUGCACAUCAGCAACAACAGCCUGCAGCACAGAAGCAGAUGACCUGCAGACGUGCUAAAGGUGCUAAGGAUAUAUAGUUACAUACUGAAUGAGUAUAGGUUGAAUUCAGGUCGUGCAUCUCACAAGGAACACAUGCUAGAAUUGCUUCUCUUGAUUUUAAUAUCCUUUAAAAGACAAAAUGCAAAUUGGUGUUCCGGUCCAUGUAUCUGAUCCGAGGGAACCAAAGUAGAUAUGUCAGAUGUAUGUGCAUUUCUCUGUUAAUUCAGUAUUAAUCCUUUUUGUUAUCUCUGGAACAUAUCAGUAUCUUUUUUUUGUUCUCAUUUCUUGUGCUAGAUUUUCAUUUCUAUUGUCUUAUUUUUUAUGGUAUCCAACAGUUUACUUCAUAUUACUUUCUCCUCGCUAAAAAUCUGACAGAACAAAAGAGAGAAUUGAGAAAGUUCUACGACCACUGCUGACGUGUUAUUUACAACAGGGAAUUGAAUAUAUUAUACUGAAGGUCUGAUACAACAACCUGCCUUGCUAUUAUUGGAUAUCAUCUAUGGAGAAGUUAUGAAAAUAUUGGAACGGAUAAAUAGGACUUGGUAGAUUAUCAUGUUUGGAUGCAAGAUUGUAACUGUCUACUCUAUACAUAUAGCACUAGGUAGAACAUCAUAUUUUGAUGACAAAUUGUAAAUUCUCUACUUGUCAGAUUUAUUUUUGUAUGAGCUACUGAUUCCAAUAUUAAACAAUUAUUUAUUUCACACACUGCGUUCAUAUUCUGAGAUUUGCAUGAUGUGGUAUUUCACGUCUGAACUAUGUUCUCUGAGAAACUCUACCAUCUUCAAGAGCGGUCAAGCUAUACUGUCAUGCAAAUAGUAUAUUCUGAAAUAGAAUUGUGAAUCCGUGUAUUAUCUUACCAACGCAUACAAUGGUUGCUUGAAAUCUGUAGCUAUUUUUGCAACGCCUUUCCCAACUGGUUACCAACGCACGGAUAUGCGUUGCAUUGUACCUUUGCAACGCCCAAAAACGCAACGCAUUUUUAUCCGUUGGUAUUCUGUCUAGCAACGCCAAUAUGAACAUUUAGAUACGCAUAAUUGCGUUGCUGUAGGGGGGUUCAUGUU